rnacentral:lncRNA from 1 species
GCAGGGGGGCGCGUCAGCUCGCGCACCAGCAGGUUCCUCAGCUGCGUCUGCGCGGGGCGGGACAGACCGGACAUCACGUCACGGGGUCACAGGUCACGCAGGUCAAUAAGUCAAUCAAUUUUUUUUUUUUUGCCUGUCUGGAUUCAAUAUGGCGCCACGGGGUCACGCAGGUCAAUAAGUCAAUCAAUUUUUUUUUUUUUUGCCUGUCUGGAUUCAAUAUGGCGCCACGGGGUCACGCAGGUCAAUAAGUCAAUCAUCAAUUUUUUUUUUUUUGCCUGUCUGGAUUCAAUAUGGCGCCACGGGGUCACGCAGGUCAAUAAGUCAAUCAUCAAUUUUUUUUUUUUGCCUGUCUGGAUUCAAUAUGGCGCCACGGGGUCACGCAGGUCACUAAGUCAAUCAAUUUUUUUUUUUUUGGCUGUCUGGAUUCAAUAUGGCGCCACCACCGGGCACCCCCCCACGAUACCUUGAGCGCGUCCAGCACGCCCCGCUCCUUGAACGUCCGGUACAGCCUCUUGCGUAGACCGUCCCGAGUCAGCGCGUCACACGUGGCGGGCCGGGACGCCAUGACUGCCCGAGAACAGACACGCGGCGCCGCGUCAGUCUCCAACGCCCAGCAGAGACAAGCGCCCAUUCUAACGGACUCAACUGGAGACAUCAUUCCCGCCCGCCCGCCCGCCCCGGGGGAGCGGCCACGUCCGCCAUCUUAGGUGUCUGCUACGUCCGCCAUCUUGGGUAGAGUGGCAAGUGCAGCCACGUCCGCCAUCUUAGGUGUCCGCUCCGCCCGCCCUGCCAAGGUCCGAGUCUGCAGCCCCGCUCGGGCUUCGGGCCCAAAGACCAGGGGAGACCGCUGACCUCGGAGCCCCGCCCCGCUGACCGGAAGUAGCCCUGCCCGCUGACCGGAAGGGGCCCCGCCCCGCUGACCGGAAGCAGACCCGCCCCGCUGACCGGAAGCAGACCCGCCCCGCUGACAGGAAGGAGCCCAGCCCCGCUGACCGGAAGUAGCCCUGCCCGCUGACCGGAAGGGGCCCCGCCCCGCUGACCGGAAGCAGACCCGCCCCGCUGACAGGAAGGAGCCCUACCCCGCUGACCGGAAGUAGCCCUGCCCGCUGAACGGAAGCAGCCCUGCCCGCUGACCGGAAGGAGCCCUGCCCGCUGACCGGAAGCAGCUCUGCCCCGCUGACCAGAAGUAGCACUGCCCCGCUGACCCCGGAGCCCUGCCCCGCUGACCGGAAGGAGCCCUGCCCCGCUGACGGGAAGCAGCCCCGCCCCGCUGACCCCGGAGCCCUGCCCCGCUGACCGGAAGUAGCCCUGCCCCGCUGACCGGAAGCAGCCCCGCCCCUGUCCCGGGGCUGGAAGCGGCCCGGGGCGGAACAGCGUGUUCUGGUGCUCCGAACUCGGACUCCGGCCAAAGCGCGCGACUGCGACCGCGCACCGCGCGGGACCCUCCAGGGCGAGCGACAGGCCGAGA